AACCCGUCUAACUAACCAGCCACAUCCAAGUCGCGUGCCUGCAGUGCGGUGAAGCUGCUGGAUUCUUCUCCCCCUUGAUCUCUUCUCCUCCCUGCUCUCUGGCAGCUUUGGUAGUUGACCAGGGAAGAGAGGGACAGGCCAUGGCGAACUGCACGGCAGCGCGCAUGUUUGCCUACAACGCCUCGCUCUGCGCUUGCGACCCCGGGUACUACCUGAGCAACGGCAGCUGCGCCCCGAUGCCGGGCGGCGGGUGGGAGUGGCAGGUGGGCACCGUGGGCGCGCCGCGCAACCGGAGCCUCUACUUCCUGGCACCGGUCCUCUCCCUCGACGCCGUCCGCUACCUCACCCAGUCCCAGGCCGUGCUCCUCGAGGCCGCGCUCGCCGCGCUCCUCUCCUGGCUCGCCUUCUGCGCCGCCGCAAGGGUCGCCGGACGGGACCCCAGCGGGGAGAAGAGGCUCUUCCGCGUUCGGUUCUGGGUCAGCCGCCUCGACUGCGUCUUCGACAACAGCCACUGGACGGAGGACCAGCGAGUACUGAGGAAAAGGAAGACCGAGCUGGGUGGCACAUGCUCAGUUGCUAGCUUGAUACUCUUCAUCGGAUUAGUCACCGUGCUGCUGUAUCAAGCCAUCAAAAGGCACAGCAUUGAGGUGCAUCGAGUCAAGCCGGCCAAUGCUCCCGACCUUCUGUCUUUCGUGAACGAUCUUGAGUUCCACAUCACCACCGUCUCCAGCAUGUCCUGUGCGCAAGCGGUCGCGCCUUCAACCAUCGCGAUGGGGACACCUGGGUUCAUGGACUUCAGGGUGGUGCCCCUGCCAACAUUGUUCACCUACAGCUGCAAAAACACGAGCCAGGGGCCAUCCAUUUCGCUCAGGUGCAACGGCUGCCGGAUCCCUCCGAGAGACCACUAUGUGUCCUGGCAAUUCAUCGAUCUUCCGGGGCAGCCGGCUGCCGCAGCUGGCUUCCAGUUCAACAUGACCGCGAAGCAGCACGGCGACGACAAGCACGUGAGCUUUGUGAGUGGCAUGAUGAACUCUGACGGCUAUGCUGAUGAUGGGAAGCUGAAAACAUUCAGGGGCAGAGGUUCAAAUGUUCUGAAGAUUCAACUGUUCCCUCAGAUAUACAACAAUCUUGGUAACCUGAGGCUCUUGCAGCCACUGGUUCAGGACUUCACCCAAGGGUCUGCGUUUUCGGAUGUCAGCAGCUUGAAUGCUUCCCUGCAGAAUCCCAGGGAUGGAGUAGUGAAUACUACGCUCUUCAUAAGUUAUCUUUCCGACUACAUUGUGGAGAUCAGCAAAGAGAGUGUGGUAGGCCCAGUUAGUAUACUUGCGAGUAUUGGUGGCCUUUAUGCCUUCAGUGUGGCAAUUUGUCUCUGCAUGAUGGCUCAAUGCGAAGCCAGGAUAAAGAAGCUCCAUGAUGAGGAUACCAGAAUGUUGACAAUUAUGAGCAAACGGCGUGCUCGACGGAAUUGGGAUAAGGUGCGGAAGUUUGUCAUGUAUACCUGGGGUCCUAGCAACCUGGAUCCAACUGAUAGAAGUGGCAAGCACAGCCUGAAGGUUGAGUAAUGGAUUCUCUCCAUAGAACCUUCCACAAGAGAAGAGAACUGAUUAGACGAGCAAACUCGUUUGUGCUAAUAUUCAUAUAUUUGCUUUUUGGUGCAGUAUAUGUUUGUCCAAUGGGGGCCAUUGACAUCGAAAGAGUUGGGGAAAUGCAGCAAUCAAGCAGUUCCGGAUAGCCUUGAUGGAUGGAAGCUUGGGAUGCAAUGCUGGCAUUGAUGCUUUGAUUCAUACCUAGCUGUUCCUGCAUAUAUGCUUUGAAAAUUUGUCCCCUUUUGCAUAGUCCUCCAUGAAAUUUUACGCUGCUGCAUCAUCUUUAGCCAAGCGAUUGACGUGACUUAAGCUGACGAUGAGGGACAGUUUUGUUACGGUAUCAAUUCCCAACUGAAAUUAGCAAUUAUUGUUGUC